UACAGAGGGGGCAAGCGUUGUCCGGAUUUACUGGGCGUAAAGUGUGCGCAGGCGGCCGAGCAAGUCGAGUGUGAAAGCCCCGAGCUUAACUUGGGAACUGCGCUCGAAACUACUUGGCUAGAGUGUGGCAGAGGGAGGUGGAAUUCCACGUGUAGCGGUGAAAUGCGUAGAGAUGUGGAGGAACACCGAUGGCGAAGGCAGCCUCCUGGGCCAACACUGACGCUCAUGCACGAAAGCGUGGGGAGCAAACAGG
rnacentral:rRNA from 1 species